GGUUGAUCCUGCCAGGAGUUAUAUGCUUGUCCCAAAGAUUAAGCCAUGCAUGUGUAAGUAUAAAUGCUUUGUACUGUGAAACUGCGAAUGGCUCAUUAUAUCAGUUAUAAUUUACUUGAUGGUCCCUUACUACUUGGAUAACCGUGGUAAUUCUCCGGCUAAUACAUGCGGCUCUUCGGAGGGUAUUUGUUAGACUCAAACCAGCGCCGGCAACGGCCUCGGCGACACAUGACAACUGCACGGAUCGCACGACGUUGGUCGGCGACGCUUCAUUCAAAUUUCUGCCCUAUCAA
rnacentral:rRNA from 1 species